GAUGGUUCCGUGAAUUCCCCAUUGAAUUUUGAUAGAGAAAUCAUUGAAAUCUUUGUGUCUGAUAUGUGCAGAUCUAUAAGUGCUGUUUAUAAAACAGAUGUCAAACUGCCACAAGGCAUCAAACUUCAACGCUUUGAAUGGGACGAAAGCAUCAUGAUGAAUGCCUCGUUAAAUGAAGACAACAUUGGCUACUGUGUUCCAGAGUCUCUUUGUUUACCUAGUGGCCUGUUGAACAUGACAAUGUGUCGAAAGGCAGCUGGUGGACUUUAUCUC
rnacentral:sRNA from 1 species